rnacentral:rRNA from 1 species
GAAUUUUGGACCAUGGGGGCAACCCUGAUCCAGCCAUCCCGCGUGUGCGAUGAAGGCCUUCGGGUUGUAAAGCACUUUUGGCAGGGAAGAAAAGGCUCGGGCUAAACCCUUGAGCUGCUGACAGUACCAGCAGGAUAAGCCCCGGCUAACUCCGUGCCAGCGGCCGCGGUAAUACGUAGGGUGCAAGCGUUAAUCGGAAUUACUGGGCGUAAAGCGUGCGCAGGCGGUUCGGCAAGAAGGAUGUGGAAUCCCAGGGCUUAACCUUGGAACUGCAUUCUUAACUGCCGGGCUAGAGUACGUCAGAGGGGGGUAGAAUUCCGCGUGUAGCAGUGAAAUGCGUAGAGAUGCGGAGGAAUACCGAUGGCGAAGGCAGCCCCCUGGGAUAAUACUGACGCUCAUGCACGAAAGCGUGGGGAGCAAAC